rnacentral:lncRNA from 1 species
CCAAGGCCACAACGUGCGAGUUCACGGGGGACAUCCUGCGCACGCCGGUGUCCGAGGACAUGCUGGGCCGGGUGUUCAAUGGCUCAGCCAAACCCAUCGACAGUGGCCCCCCGGUGAUGGCCGAGGACUUCCUGGACAUCAACGGUGACGUCUCCGGCUCUGCAGGAACACGGGAGGGGCUUGGGGAUGGACGGGAAUUGGGGGUGACACCAUGGCCUGAUGGUCACAGUGGGCCUGG